UGGGGAAUAUUGGACAAUGGGCGCAAGCCUGAUCCAGCAAUGCCGCGUGUGUGAAGAAGGCCUUCGGGUUGUAAAGCACUUUUAUCAGGAGCGAAACGCUGUCGGCUAAUACCCGGCGGAACUGACGGUACCUGAGGAAUAAGCACCGGCUAACUUCGUGCCAGCAGCCGCGGUAAUACGAAGGGUGCAAGCGUUAAUCGGAAUUACUGGGCGUAAAGCGCGCGUAGGCGGUUUCUUAAGUCUGCUGUGAAAUCCCCGGGCUCAACCUGGGAAUGGCAGUGGAUACUGGGAGGCUAGAGUGUGUCAGAGGGUGGUGGAAUUCCCGGUGUAGCGGUGAAAUGCGUAGAGAUCGGGAGGAACAUCAGUGGCGAAGGCGGCCACCUGGGACAACACUGACGCUGAGGCACGAAAAGCGUGGGGAGCAAACAGGAUUAGAUACCCUGGUAGUCCACGCCCUAAAACGAUGCGAACUGGAUGUUGGUCUCAACUCGGAGAUCAGUGUCGAAGCUAACGCGUUAAGUUCGCCGCCUGGGGAGUACGGUCGCAAGACUGAAACUCAAAGGAAUUGACGGGGUCAUAGCUGUUUCCUG
rnacentral:rRNA from 1 species